rnacentral:rRNA from 1 species
UACGUAGGGUGCGAGCGUUGUCCGGAAUUAUUGGGCGUAAAGGGCUCGUAGGCGGUCUGUCGCGUCGGUAGUGAAAACUCAGGGCUUAACCCUGAGCCUGCUUCCGAUACGGGCAGACUAGAGGUAUGCAGGGGAGAAUGGAAUUCCUGGUGUAGCGGUGAAAUGCGCAGAUAUCAGGAGGAACACCAGUGGCGAAGGCGGUUCUCUGGGCGUUACCUGACGCUGAGGAGCGAAAGUGUGGGGAGCGAACAGG